rnacentral:rRNA from 1 species
UCUAGCGACAAUAGCGACAUGGCCCCACCUGAUCCCAUUCCGAACUCAGAAGUGAAACGUGUUAGCGCCGAUGGUAGUGUGGGAGUU